UGCAGAUGAUGUCUUUUCACGAUGGUCUUUGGGUGCUCGCCCUGGGCACUGCUGAGAAAGCCCCUUGGCACAUCUGAUGCCAGAAG
ensembl:snoRNA